rnacentral:lncRNA from 1 species
CUAGAUGUGGAAGGUAGAAUAGAAAUUGCAACAACAAAAUUCUAAUUCUAAUAGAAUACUUACAAUGCUAAAUAAGCUUUAAUCAAAUUCAGAGAAACCUCAAAAGAAUUCCAAAGAAACAAUAAGGAAUCUUAAAAAAAUAUUAGAAUGAUUAUAAAUAUUUCUCAAAUACAUCUGAAUUCAAUCUUAAUUUAAUCUUAAUUGAAAUCUUAUUGGACUUCAUUCAAACUUUAGGCCAAAAACUAAAUAAAUCUUAAAUCCUAA